rnacentral:rRNA from 1 species
AUACGUAGGUGGCAAGCGUUAUCCGGAUUUACUGGGUGUAAAGGGCGCGUAGGCGGGGGUGCAAGUCAGAUGUGAAAUCUAUGGGCUUAACUCAUAAACUGCAUUUGAAACUGUAUCUCUUGAGUGCUGGAGAGGUAGACGGAAUUCCUUGUGUAGCGGUGAAAUGCGUAGAUAUAAGGAAGAACACCAGUGGCGAAGGCGGCCUGCUGGACGGCAACUGACGCUGAGGCGCGAAAGCGUGGGGAGCAAACAGGAUUAGAUACCCUGGUAGUCCACGCUGUAAACGAUGAAUACUAGGUGUGGGGGGACUGACCCCCUCCGUGCCGCAGUUAACACAAUAAGUAUUCCACCUGGGGAGUACGAUCGCAAGAUUGAAACUCAAAUGAAUUGACGGGG